GCGCAUCACCAAACUUGAUUUCCCCAAGAAGCACCUAAAGAAGAACAUCAAACAUCACUGUGGUGAUCAUGACAUGCAAUACCCAAAGAAAAAUAAUUUAAGAAAAAAUAAACCUAUUCAUCACACAAUGCUAAAAUACAUAUGCCUACAUAUCCAUAAUUUCUAUGUUUACGGAACACCUUUCGAUAAGUCACAACCUUCAUUUUAAAAUGGACUUUUGUAUUUGUAUUUUGCUUGUGAGUAUGGUCUUGGUUAAAACUUCGCAUUCUAGCAUUUACUUAUAUGAUAUCAUAUAGCAAGAAAGCUAUGAGACCCAAGUCACAAUUUAUUGUAUUCUCAUAGACCCUCAAAAUACUAGAGCUAGACAAAGAUAAACAACACGAUAGAGAAACUUCUGCUUUACAUGUACAUUGACAUUUGCAUGUGCAAAGCUCUCUUUCCUCCUUUCCUUUCUUUUCUUCCUCACCUUUCGAAUCUUUCUCCUAGAUUAAGGAGAUUGUUGUUUUGUUGUUAGUGGUUGCCAUCAUCAUCACAUUGAAAUCAACUUUAGUUAAUACUAGCCUCCUGCACGCGCUCACGGGCGUGCGGAAGGCCCUUUUGUAAUUAAGGCAUUCUACGUGCGACUUAAAUAAUUUAAAUGAUAACAAAAGAGCGGUUGCUCUCUGAUCUAAUUGCAGACACAAUCUGCAGAACCGUCUUCUAUGGGAUUUGAACUUGUGAAGUGUGAGGUGGAGACCUGAAUGUAACAAAUUGGUGUUAAGUGAAUAAUUCCAAACAUAUAAAAUUUAGAUCAUCACACCGAACGCAAACAGAACAAUUAAAUAAACAACUGAAGGCAUACGCAAUCUAAUUAGACAAAUAAGUGAACUUUCCCAUGCCGAAAUCUGAAAGGCCAACAGAAAUAUCUCAUUACAGCACAGAAGACAAAACUUAGGACAAAACUUAAAACUAAUCAAACUUAGGUGAACCAAUUAUAGAGAACAUAACCCUUGUAACCAAUCGGGAAAAGAUGCUUUUAAAUCCCAGAAAAAAAAAUUAAGAGGAGUUUUUUAAAAAACCAUCAUUUCAAUUAUUUUCCAGUCUUACAUUUGGAUUAAACAGAAAAUAUAAGUAAAAAUGCCAACUUUCUAAAAAAACUACAACUAUUUUUACAAAUUUCCAUUACCCAAUGCUGAAAAAUGAGAAUCACGAAGCAAUGAAGAACGGAACACGCGAGAACCAAAAAGUUAAAAACAACACGUAACCAUUUCAAAGACCCAAAAUCCUGCAAGGACAAAAAAAUCCCAUAAAAUCAGUACAUCAGCACUCCCUGCAAAACCCCAAAAUCAGAAAAUUAUAAAAAGAACCCAAAAUCAGUGGCAUGGUCCUCGUUUCUCCAUCAUUCAGUAGCUAAUGACCUAAUGGAAAAGAACCCAAAACAUACAGCUUAAAAUAUGGAAAGUGCUUAUAAAAGCUCAUGAAUAACGUUCAAAGCCUGCAUAGAAAUGGUAUAGCGCAGAUAACAACAAACAAUAAAACUAUGCACAGUAUAACCUAAAUCCGAUAUGUUGCAUUCCCCACACACAGAUUGUUCAAAAUUAAUUUCGUCUCCGUCUUUUUUCAAAUCUGAUAAAAUCCCCAAAACACAAAAAAUAGCAGCUAACUAUUUUUUGAACUCUGUAAACAACGAUAUGCAUCUUAACCCAUUUAACAUAUUCAUAAAAUAACAUCAAACACAUUUAUGCAUGAGAUAAUAUAGAAGUGAAGUCUCACAACUUUCAUAAAAAAUUAUUACUUUGUUAGAGAAAGGCUUGAAAAAAUAUGUAAAUUACUCACCUCUAUUACAAAAAUGUUACAACAGUAGACAAAAAAGGCCAAAAAUACCAAAAGCCGCACCUCCUGAAAUAAAAAACAUAACCAAACGACACAUUCUCAGUAUCUAAACGAUAUCCAGAAAAAAAGAAAUGAACAGACGAAACCCAUGUAAAUAUACAGAACAAACCAAAAAAAAAAAAAAGAACUGAAGCCAGUAAGAAGAUCACAAAUCUGAUAAAGCAAAAGGUAACAUAAUCUAUAUCGAUUUAAUUAUCCAUCCAAAAAGACAUUUGAAUGAAGAACAUUUUUAAGGAUCCAAACAACCAUUAAACUAAACAAUUAAAAGUAAAAACAGCAAAGCAUUCAUUGAAGAAAUAUAUAUAUAUAUAUAUAUUAUAACGUAUUUUGUUCUUUAUACCUAAAAGAAAAACAUUGGCUUUCUUGUAUGCACUGAAGUAUGCAUGUGUCGGAAAUUUACAAUCUAUAGAGACUCAAUCUCAGACUCAAAAAGACAUCUAAAGGAAAAGUAAUAAGAAAAAUAAGUAGUGGUUUUACCUAUACUCCAUGUGUGGACUCCAAUUUUCAAUCACAAUUCAAAAUUCAAGAGGCCUAUAAAUCAACCACAUAGGAAAUGAUCAGUGGAAGAAAAAGAAAAACAACUGAAGCCAAAAUAGCAUCUAACAAAUCAUUUAGAACCAUCACAGAAAACAAUUUUUGCAUAUAAGUAAUUUAAAGGAAUACCAUCAGGUCAUGCAUAUAUACAACGUACCCAAUUAGAUAAGUAGCACAUCAACAAUUGAUGAUCAAAAAGUUAGUCAGCCUCAAUUGCUUGAAUCUAAUUAACUCAAAGAUAAUAAACAGUCCAUUUAAUGCACGGGCUGACUAUCAAUUUUAUAAAGCUAUAAUUCUGUGCAGUUCAAAAACCAAGUGGAAGAAUAGGCAAAAACUAUCUCAUCGCCUGUAAAUGUAAUUAACUAAAUAUUAAACUUCACAGCCACAAAUAAACCUAAAUUCCUCCUAAAACUAUCUCAUUUAAGCUUGAUUUUACUAUAAUCUAUAAGUGUGGUAAAAAAUGGGAGGCCAAACGAUUUGUUAACAAAAAAGGUAGACAUAAAAGUAAAAGGAACAGGGCAGACAUUAGUUGAGGAGAAGCUAAUGUCACCUUGAAUUGACGACAAACAGUUCUUAUCUUCUCGAAUUAACGAAGAUAAGUACCAUUUUUCUUUAAUUCAAGGUAAUAUAAAAAGAAAUUAUACCUGUACAGUGUUCAGAUGUAGCAAUCCUAUGCAAUCGGCCAAAUGAUGUGUGUCCUCUCAAAGAUCUGUAUAUCCAUUACAGACUAAUCUUCAGUCUUGCAGAAAAUGAUAUGUUGACUACAAUUUCCCAUACUACUAAAAAACACAAAUAAUUCUAUCUACAAACCAAAUAAUAUGUGCAACUUUAUGCUACAAUGGUAGAAUAAGAUGGUUGUACAGGACGACACAAAGAUUGAGACUUUUUUUUACUUCUAAAAUUCUACACACUUUCGAGCCCUAAAUUUUCCCGGAAACAAAAAAAAGUGAAAGAAGUCGUACCUGGUUUGAGAGAGUGGGACACCAUCGGCGAGUUUGGUGUAGCAGUGAUGGCGGAGAUCUCUGGUGAGAAAGCUAAUAAGAUGGACAAAAUCAUUGAACAAAAAAAACCUCGCUUUUUAAAAUUAAAGUCAACAAAAAUUUGAACAAAGAAAAGAGAACUCAAACCCGAAACAAAUAAGUCGGAGAACUCGCCAGGAAACCCAAAGUUUCUGCAGGAUUGGCGAUUUCCUGAAAACCAAGCUUUUGUAGGUUUAAAAUUUCUUCCCUAAGGCAACAGAUCCAACAUUCCCAACUUUAGCUAUUUCAGCUACAUAAUAGAAAGAAAAAAAAAUUUAUAUAAUUAACUAAUCUGAUUUAAGAUUAAUCGAAAAGCUUGGAAAUUUCAGCUUUAAAAUUACAUGUCAGGCUGCAAAUCUAAUAAAAAGCGUAGAAUUUUAAAAAUGCUGACCUUAAAUACAGAGGCCUUCGCAGGCUGCAAAGAAGCGUUAGAAACCCGAAAAACCGGAUCUCCUGAAACCAAAAACAAAACCAAAUUAACCAUCAUCACCCAUAAUUCGAAGCCACAAACAUAAUCCCCAAAAUUACAACCCAAAAAUUUAAACAAAAAAACCCAUUUAUAAAUCCAAAUUUACACUCCCAAGUGCAAGACUCUAAGCUCCAACUGUUCUUUCUCAACUUUAGCUAUUUCAGCAACAUAACAUAAAUAAAAAGGUCGUACCCAGUGCACAAGGCUCCCGCUUUACGCAGGGUCUGGGAGAGGUGAAUGUCGGCUAGCCUUACCCCCAUUUUAUGGAGAGGCUGCUCCCAAGUCUCGAACCCGAGACCUACCGCUCAUGGGCGAAGACACUUGCCAUCGCACCAAGUGCGACCUCUAGCAACAUAACAUAAAUAAAAAGAUCGUACCCAGUGCACAAGGCUCCCGCUUUACGCAGGGUCUGGGAGAGGUGAACGUCGGCUAGCCUUACCCCCAUUUUAUGAAGAGGCUGGAACAUAACAUAAAUAAAUAAACAAAAUUAAUUUAACUAUAAUUAACUAAUAUGAUUUAAGAUUAAUCAAAAAACUUGGAAAUCUGCUUGAAUCCAAUCUCAAAAUUGAAAACGAACACUUCACUUUUACAAAAGUUGUACAAAGCAAAAAAAAAAAAACAGACAAAUCAAAGUCUCACAAAGGGCCACAACGACAGCAAAAUUGCAACAGAAAGAGGAAAAAUGUUCAAUCAAACCAUUGGAUAACUCUUCUAAGGCAGCCAAAAAAAAACCCACAAAUUCAAAACCACAAAAAUCCAAUCUAAAACAUCGAUUCACAGACUGAGAUGCACAAAAUGAUAUAUUAACAAAUCCAAAACGAAAUACAAAAAUUAAGAACCAACAAGCAAAAAAAUACUGAUUAUCCCCUGCAUACGUGAGCACACGUUCAAAAAGCCUCUCAAAGGCUGAGAUUCAACUUUCAAACAUAAAGACUUUAAGCCACAAUUGUUCUUUCUUAACUUUAGCUACUUCAGUUACAUAAUCGGAAAAAAAAAAUUAUUUAAUUAUAGUUAACUAAUCUGGGUUAAGAUUAAUAAAAAAGCUUGGAAAUUUCAGAUCUAAAAUCACACCUCAGGCUGCAAGUAGAAUCAAAACCAUGGAAUUUCAAAAUCACUGACCUUAAACACACAGGUCUUCGCAGGCUUCAAAGAAAAGUCACAAACUCGAAAAACCCAAUCUCCUGAAAUCGAAAACAAAACCAAAUUAACCAUCAUCACCUAGAAUCCGAAGCUACAAAACAAAAUUCCCAAAAUCAAAACCAAAAAAUUUGAACAAAAAACUCAUUUAAUAUCCAAAUUUACACUCCCAAGCACAUAACAUUCAAAGCAGACAAUUACCCAAAUCAAAUCGACAGCAGGAGAUGCAAUCUUUUAUGGGCUUCAAAUUUUCUUCAAACCGAGACCAAAUUCGCUAGUUUUCAGCAAGAGAGCGUUGCCGUUUGUAACCCCCGAUGAAAAGAUCCAAACAAAUUUGACUAACAGUAGACAGAGAGAGAGAGAGAUAGAGAGAGAGAGGUGAAAAUUACUCGCUGGUGACGAAGCUAAUGAAUUCGGAGACGCAUUCCUGGACGGUGUUCGACUGAUCGGCACGAGUAGAGACACCAGAUCAGAAAGACAGAAAAAUUAGGGUUUGGGAGAUAAAGAAACUGGGGCAGAGAGAGAGGGAAAGAGAAGCAGAAAAGAGGAUAAUUUUAUGCAUUUUUUUUAGCCGCUUUGAAUUUUUUUUGGCCGACAGGCAUUUGCGUCCGAUUAUUUUUGUCGAAGCCGGUGACACCAAAACCGGCCUCCGGCUUUCGGACCAGGAUUGUCUGCCCCUUCAUUUUCCCUGCCAUGU
rnacentral:lncRNA from 1 species